GAAGAUAACGGUGGAGUUCUGGACUCCUUCUAUACCAGGAGUGUGAAGGAAAAGCCGUACUACAUCUCUGUCAUCCAGAUUAGUAAACUUCUCCGGUCACCGGAGGCUGAGGCACCUACUCCGGCGCCGAGCGCUUAUAAUCUCACCGAGCUCAUGACGAAGAAAGGUUGCAAGGUAAAAAAAAAACAAGAAGCAAAAUCUGUAUAAAAUAUUAAAAUGCAUGUAGAAUCUCACUGCAAUGAUUACCGGUGAAUAGGUGUUCGCCGAUUUACUCUCAGCCACGCCUGCGGUGGAGAAAACCUUCAUCGACAACGUCGAAGGUGGUCUGACGGUCUUCUGUCCUAUAGACCAAGCCAUGACCAAGUUCAUGCCUAAGUACAAGAAACUG
rnacentral:lncRNA from 1 species